CACGGGCACCCGAGCGAGGUGGCCAGACUGAGGCGCGGAUUGCUGUGCCGAGGUUGCAGGUGCCCCGUAGACAGACCGGCUGGGACGCCUACCCGCCAGCCUGAGUUCACACCUCUGUGGGGGAGCCAGGCGGGGAGGUGGCUACGAGAGCCCUAGGAGCGGAACGGGGAAAUUAAAAAAGAGGAAUGGGCCAAAGCGUGGGGACAAGGGAGGCGGGAAGUCCCGGAGGGCCUCUCUUUGCAGAUGACUUUAGAGUCCGGGGAUGGUAAGAGGACGGCUGCCCGGGAAGAUCUGCAGGAAGGGUGUUCCAGAAGGAACCUCCUGCCUGGAGGGGUUGCCUGGAGCCAAAGGUGUUGACUGAGAACGAUUGAUCCACUCCCAAGACUUGAUCCACAAAACACUGAACUGAGGCUGCAUGGGAAAAUGGAGCCAGAAUGCCAGCCCAGCUGUGCAUGACCUACAGCCCGUGGUCUACUGCUAUUACCUUGCUUCUCUACACGUCAUCUCUGGCCCCUGGGAAUUUACCUUGUGGACUCAGCAGAGGUUGAGAGAUCUUUAGAAGGAUGCUCUCUCUGCAGCGCUGUUUAUAAUAGAAAGUGGAAAGCACCAAAGCCAGGUGAGGUCUGUCUGCCUCUGUGACUUUGCUCAGCCAUCACAUACCUGAUUCACGGAGUUGUCAGGCAGUGAUACACCUUCUUACAGUGCCCUGUGCCUUGUCUUCUUGGCACUUUGAACAUGUAGCGUGUACUUCACAUCCUCCACCACCAGCUACUCCCUUUAAGUACGGUAAUUCCUUCCUCCUAAGACUUAGCCCGGUACUGGAGAACCAAGAAUCAAAAGCCUCAGGUCAAUAGCGCUUCUGGGCUUUUGGAAAAAUCUAAACUCAUUGCGGGGAAUGGAGCAAUAAGGAGAGAAGGAAGAAGGGCUGUGAGAAGCUAGGAGGAAUAUUCCCAGGCCAUAUAACAGACAAGGAGCAUCUGCCUGCCCUCAAAGAAACUAGACCUCAAAGCACUAAUAAAAACCACAAUGGCGAUGGAACUAAC
ensembl:lncRNA